GACAGAGGUCCCAAGCGUUAGGCGGAAUCACUGGGCUUAAAGCGUGUGUAGGCGGAUUUGUAAGUACUUUGUGAAAUCCCACGGCUCAACCGUGGAACUGCUUGGUAUACUGCUUAUCUUGGGCCAUCUAGGGGCGAGCGGAACAAACGGUGGAGCGGUGAAAUGCGUAGAUAUCGUUUGGAACGCCAAUGGUGAAAACAGCUCGCUGGGGAUGUGCCGACGCUGAGAUACGAAAGCGUGGGGAGCAAACAGG
rnacentral:rRNA from 1 species